rnacentral:rRNA from 1 species
ACAAGCGGUGGAGUAUGUGGUUAAUUCGAUGCAACGCGAAGAACUUACCUGGCUUGACAUCCCGGAGACCCUUAGGAAACUAGGGGGUGCUUCCAUCUGGAAGAAUCUGGAGACAGGUGCUGCAUGGCUGUCGUCAGCUCGUGUCGUGAGAUGUUGGGUUAAGUCCCGCAACGAGCGCAACCCUUGCCUUUAGUUGCCAGCAGUUCGGCUGGGCACUCUAAAGGGACUGCCGGUGUUAAACCGGAGGAAGGUGGGGAUGACGUCAAGUCCUCAUGGCCUUUAUGACCAGGGCUACACACGUACUACAAUGGCCGAUACAAAGGGCAGCGACACUGCGAGGUGAAGCCAAUCCCGUAAAAUCGGUCUCAGUCCGGAUUGGAGUCUGCAACUCGACUCCAUGAAGUUGGAAUCGCUAGUAAUCGUGGAUCAGCAUGCCACGGUGAAUACGUUCCCGGGCCUU